GGAUAACACUUGGAAACAGGUGCUAAUACCGCAUAAUAGUCGACACCGCAUGGUGUUGAUUUGAAAGACGCUUUCGGGUGUCACUGAUGGAUGGACCCGCGGUGCAUUAGCUAGUUGGUGAGGUAACGGCUCACCAAGGCGAUGAUGCAUAGCCGACCUGANAGGGUGAUCGGCCACACUGGGACUGAGACACGGCCCANACUCCUACGGGAGGCAGCAGUAGGGAAUCUUCGGCAAUGGACGAAAGUCUGACCGANCAACGCCGCGUGAGUGAAGAAGGUUUUCGGAUCGUAAAACUCUGUUGUUAGAGAAGAACAAGUAGGAGAGUAACUGCUCUUACCUUGACGGUAUCUAACCAGAAAGCCACGGCUAACUACGUGCCAGCAGCCGCGGUAAUACGUANGUGGCAAGCGUUGUCCGGAUUUAUUGGGCGUAAAGCGAGCGC
rnacentral:rRNA from 1 species